UUUGUUCUGAAAACCCUUCCUCCCCAACCCCCAGCUUCUAUACUUGCUGCAAUGGAAUUAAAUCCAAACUCCUUUCUUAGGAGGGUCAUCUAAGUGCUUCAGUACAAGUGAAUAUGAAACUUAAUGAAGAAUAGUCUUGUGAACUGCAUCUUUAGAGGAAUGACUGGUUAGGAGCAUCAAAACACUGAACACUUACAUGGGCUCUGGAGAAGAUCAAUGCAGCUGGAAUUGAAUACAAGAAAACAUGGUUGUUUCGGAGAGGGUUCCUUACAUCAAAAAGAAAAUAGUAUCUUCAAGCUGGCCAUAUUAAUAUUUACCUUAAGAAGAGGCCAGUUUUUAAAGAUCAUAAAAUCAACACUACAGGUAAGUAUUGACUUCUAUGACAGUUGCAAAAAUAUUCAUGAAUGUAGCAGGUUUUAUUUUUAUUUCUGG
rnacentral:lncRNA from 1 species